AUGACGCCGCCGGCGGCGGCCUCGCCGGGGCGGAAGUCUCCGGCCGCGGUCCUCUUCCUCUGCGUGGUCACUAUCUCAUUACUCAUGUUCAUACUCCUUGCCUCCUACACCCCCCGCCUCCAGCCCCACGGCCGCAGCCCCCACCGCCGCCUCAAGCUCCACCCCAAGAACUCCGCCGCCGUCGCUUCUUCCUACGGGGCCGGCGCCGUCCACGAUUCCGGAGGAAACCGCCACGCGGCGCCCUUCGACCCGGCCAUCGCCGAGCUGGAGCGGCGGCUGGAGGACAAGGAGUGGGAGCGCGAGCACUACCGCAUCCUCCAUGGCGACGCCGAGAAAGACGACCACAUGAAGGAGUGGGAGGAGUUCCUCAGGGAGGAAGAGGACUUUAUCAACGACGACGAUCGCUUCAACGUCUCCGACCGCAUCCGCGCGCUUUUCCCCAAGAUCGACCUCAGCCCCAAGGACGGCUUCGUCUCCCUCGAUGAGCUCAUCAGGUGGAACCUCGAUCAGGCCAGGGCCGACCAGCUCCAUCGCUCCGCCAGGGAGAUGGAGCUCUACGACAAGAACGGCAACGGGAUCGUCUCCUUCACUACUUUCCGGGCGCUGCGCCAACAGUCCCAUGGGGAUGGCAACUCACUGGGGUUCCCGUGGUGGAAAGAGGAGCACUUCAAUGCUUCGGACGUCAACGGGGAUGGUUUCCUCAAUAAAACUGAGUUUCACGACUUUCUUAAUCCAAGUGAUUCGGAGAAUCCUAAAAUUAUCAACUUGCUCUGCAGACAAGAAUUAAGGCAGAGAGAUAAAGAUGGUGAUGGAAAGUUAAACUUUGAAGAAUACUUUCAUGGGCUACAUGACCAUAUACAUGGUUAUGAUGACGAGAAUGCAGCUAUUUCUCAUAUUGGGAACAUGACAAUUGCAAAGGAGCGGUUUGCCAAGCUUGACAAAGAUAAUGACGGGUUCAUUUCAGAGCAUGAACUAGAACCUGUUCUUGAUAAGCUCCAUCUGUCAGAACGCUAUUAUGCCAGACAGCAAGCCACACAUGCUAUUUCAGAGGCAGACAAAGAUCAUGAUGGAAGGCUAACACUGGAAGAGAUGAUCGAGAACCCCUAUGCAUUUUAUGGUAGUGUUUACUUCAGCGAUGACGAGGACUACUUCCAUGAAGAGUUCCGCUAA
rnacentral:rRNA from 1 species